AGGAUAAUAGUUAAAAAUAUUAACAUUUAACUUGCACUUAAAAAUUAUUGACUAAACCAAUUUAUCUUU
rnacentral:tRNA from 1 species